rnacentral:rRNA from 1 species
UACGGAGGGGGUUAGCGUUGUUCGGAAUGACUGGGCGUAAAGCGCGCGUAGGCGGAUCAGGAAGUUGGGGGGUGAAAUCCCGGGGGCUCAACCUGGGGGCUGCAUUUGAUACGUGCGGACUUGAGUGAGGAAGAGGGUCGUGGAAUUCCCAGUGUAGAGGUGAAAUUCGUAGAUAUUGGGAAGAACACCGGUGGCGAAGGCGGCGACCUGGUCCUUGACUGACGCUGAGGCGCGAAAGCGUGGGGAGCAAACAGG